rnacentral:rRNA from 1 species
CAGCAGCCGCGGUAAUACGUAGGUGGCAAGCGUUAUCCGGAAUUAUUGGGCGCAAAGCGCGCGUAGGCGGUUUUUUAAGUCUGAUGUGAAAGCCCACGGCUCAACCGUGGAGGGUCAUUGGAAACUGGAAAACUUGAGUGCAGAAGAGGAAAGUGGAAUUCCAUGUGUAGCGGUGAAAUGCGCAGAGAUAUGGAGGAACACCAGUGGCGAAGGCGACUUUCUGGUCUGUAACUGACGCUGAUGUGCGAAAGCGUGGGGAUCAAACAGGAUUAGAUACCCCGGUAGUCCCUGUCUCUUAUAC